ACAAUUCUGAGACUGUUAGAAUCUUGACUCUAGAGUCUGAAUUUAGAGUCUGGGAAACUAGGGUCUCUAUUCUGGUCCUGUAGUCUUAUUUCUGGGUUCUAGAGCUUGAAAUCUGGAUUCUGCAUUCCAGAGGUUGGAGAUCGUCACUGAGAUGACCCAAGGCUUUGGGUAUUUGAGGCUGGCUUCCAACGUCUCAGAACCCCAGAGGGCCCCAAGCAAUUGUCUAGAGUCUAUUUUGGCUUAAUUAAUGAGAAGGUCCUGAGACAGGAGGGACUGACCUCAGGUCACCAGUGAAGGAUGGGACCUGUUGUAAGCGUGGUCUCUCCCCAUGUGUGGAAAGCCAUCAUCUUUAUGGGAAGGAGUCAUCACAUGGGAUUCAGCCAUUCUAGAAUUAUAGGCCCCUGGAAUUUCUAGAAUAUCAGACUUUCAGAUUCUAAAAUCACAGGCCCUAAGACAUUCUGGCAGUCUAGGACACUCUGGAACGUAAGAUUUUAGAAUAGCCUAAAACCACAGAGCUCUAAACACUCUUGAACCUUAGAACACUGGGCGCUCUGGAGUCCCCAGAAACCUCAUGCAUUCUAGAACGUCGGGUCUCCAGACAUUCUACAAGCCCAGACCGGCAGACAUAAUAGAUUCCCAGGUUGGAAGCUCUUCUAGAACUCCUAUGUCCCUUUGCCUCCCUCCCCACAAAUUCAUGCUCAAAGUCUGCAGCCUCACCCUGGGCCACCGCUUCAGCUGAGCAGCCCUGUUUAUUGAAUGCGACUGCAGGCCACUCCCCCGUGCCAAGUGCUCGCUUUGUAGGAUCUCACUCAGGCUCCGGGCACCCCUGUGAGGUGGUUGUAUUAGUAACCUUACGGCUUCCUGCUGAAUAUGGAGGAAACUGAGGCCCAGACAGGGGGCAGCACAAGCAAGGCUUCUGCAGAAGCGAGAGGCCACGCGGGAGAGGAAUCAGUGUUCCGACUGCGGAACGCCGGGUGGGCCAGUUCGCCGCCCCCCCUGCAGCCGCCUCCCUCUGUUGGGGGGCAGUGGUGACAAGGGGAAGGAGCCGAGCCCCUGGGAUUUCCUCGGUGCCAGGUCUGUGUUAGCGCUUUCCGUCACGAUCUCACGUGUUUCUCCUCCUAACCAGCUUAGGCAGGUACUGAUGAAGUACCCCUGAUACAGACGGGGACACUGAGGGCACUCCCGCUGCGGGGAACCCAGGCGCGAACCCAGUCUGCGCACAGCUCCCUGAAAGGCGUGCAGCCAGCGGCUCCCGCAGCCCCGCCCCCACGCAGUGACGUCAGCGCCCCGCCCCCACCCGCUGUGGCCGGCUCAGGCCCGCGCGAUCGAUGUCCUCCUGGACCUGUCCCCGGACGUCCUUCACCUCCACCGCGGCCUGGGUCCCGCCCACCACGGCCUGAGUCCCGCCUUUGCCCCACUCCUCCUCCUCCUGAGAACAUUCUCUAGGAGUCUUUCAUCAACUCCCGUGGUUCAUCCACCAACCACGCAGGUCUCCUCCAUCUGACCCUGAACUCCGGCUUGGGCAGCCACCUGCUCCUGUGCGCCCCCCUGCACCAAUGUUGCUAGGCCCCUCUCACUCACCGAGUCCCAACUCAUUGCUCUAUUUCCCCAAACCCUCCUUCCCUGUUCUUCCAUGUUCUCCAUCUCAGGGGCAGCGUCACCAACCACCCAGUUAUUCGGCCAGACGCCCUUGGCACGUACCUUGCCCCAUCUCUCCCCUUAUCCCCUACAGCCCAUCAGUCCCCAGCCUUGUGCCUUCGGCCCCUGCCUCUCUCUGCCCCGUCCCCUCCUCUCUGUCCCCUUGGCCUGGCUCCAGCCCAGACGUCCUUCUCUCUCUCUGGACCCUCGCCCCUCCUGUCCUGGAGGACAGCCUCCUGUCGGUCACCACGUGGCCCCAGAGGGUCUCUCUGCACUUGGAGGUCACCCCGCCCCUCCCCUGCUCACAGUCUUCCCUUGCAGCUCCCCGUCACCCCUGGGCAAGGUCCCGGCUUCUCAGCCUGCAGUUUGAAGCCCUUUGAGAUUCCCCCGCUGGAACCAGCCUCCCCUCAGACCCUCUUCUCAGGGGGACUGCAGACUGCCCACCUCGGGAGCGGGACUGGACUCGUGGUGCCUGAAGGGGCUCCCCAUGAGGUGCUAGCCCUCCUCUAACUUAGUCUCACCAUAGCCUCCGUUCUUUCUGGGACCGGACAAGCUGCUGUUUCAGGGCGCUGGGUCUGGAUCCAGACAGCAUGGGCGCAGAUCUCUGUUCUACUACUUACUAUUUUGGGAGACCCUGAUGGGAGUGCGGGGGCCAUUGGUGAAGGUCACCCAGGCUGCAGAAGUGGAAUCAAGAGAACGGCUCUCGGGGUCCUGGUGCCCCUUGUGAGAAGCGUCAGCUCUAUGCGUGUCAGAUGGGGGAGCUGAGGCCCCGGGAGAGGAAAUGGAUGUGUGAGACCCUGGAAUGAGAGUGUGACGUCAAGCAAAGAGAAUGCCACACACAGCUGAGUUCUUCUCUGAGACUUUGUUUCCUGGGCUGUGCUGGGGGAAGCUGGAGGGGAGGAGGCAGAAAAACCUGCAUCUUCUCUUCUUUUGUCCUGCCAAUAGGUGGCACCAACUGUGCGUUUGUUCAUAGGAGUUUUCGUCUGGGUCUGAGGGAGGAGGGGCUGGGGGCCUGGACUCCUGGGUCUG